AGCUCCAAUAGCGUAUAUUAAAGUUGUUGCAGUUAAAAAGCUCGUAGUUGAAUUUUGGGACUGGCUGGCCGGUCCGCCUCACGGCGAGUACUGGUCUGGCCGGUCCUUCCCUUCUGGCGAGCCGUCAUGUCCUUCACUGGGUGUGGCGGGGAACCAGGACGUUUACCUUGAAAAAAUUAGAGUGUUCAAAGCAGGCCUAUGCUCGAAUACAUUAGCAUGGAAUAAUAGAAUAGGACGUGUGGUUCUAUUU
rnacentral:rRNA from 1 species